GGGAACGUGGUGUAUCAGUCAGCAUUCAGGUUUGUGGAACCUGCGGAGCGGGUGCGAAUCCCGUCGUUCCCC
rnacentral:tRNA from 1 species